GAUGAACGCUGGCGGCGUGCCUAAUACAUGCCAGUCGAGCGAACAGAUGAGGAGCUUGCUCCUCUGACGUUAGCGGCGGACGGGUGAGUAACACGUGGAUAACCUACCUAUAAGACUGGGAUAACUUCGGGAAACCGGAGCUAAUACCGGAUAAUAUAUUGAACCGCAUGGUUCAAUAGUGAAAGACGGUUUUGCUGUCACUUAUAGAUGGAUCCGCGCCGCAUUAGCUAGUUGGUAAGGUAACGGCUUACCAAGGCAACGAUGCGUAGCCGACCUGAGAGGUUGAUCGGCCACACGGGAACUGAGACACGGUCCAGACUCCUACGGGAGGCAGCAGUAGGGAAUCUUCCGCAAUGGGCGAAAGCCUGACGGAGCAACGCCGCGUGAGUGAUGAAGGUCUUCGGAUCGUAAAACUCUGUUAUUAGGGAAGAACAAAUGUGUAAGUAACUAUGCACGUCUUGACGGUACCUAAUCAGAAAGCCACGGCUAACUACGUG
rnacentral:rRNA from 1 species